rnacentral:rRNA from 1 species
ACACUCCUGCGGGAGGCAGCAGUGGGGAAUUUUGGACAAUGGGCGAAAGCCUGAUCCAGCAAUGCCGCGUGAGUGAAGAAGGCCUUCGGGUUGUAAAGCUCUUUUGUCAGGGAAGAAACGGUGAAAGCUAAUAUCUUUUGCUAAUGACGGUACCUGAAGAAUAAGCACCGGCUAACUACGUGCCAGCAGCCGCGGUAAUACGUAGGGUGCAAGCGUUAAUCGGAAUUACUGGGCGUAAAGCGUGCGCAGGCGGUUUUGUAAGUCUGAUGUGAAAUCCCCGGGCUCAACCUGGGAAUUGCAUUGGAGACUGCAAGGCUAGAAUCUGGCAGAGGGGGGUAGAAUUCCACGUGUAGCAGUGAAAUGCGUAGAUAUGUGGAGGAACACCGAUGGCGAAGGCAGCCCCCUGGGUCAAGAUUGACGCUCAUGCACGAAAGCGUGGGGAGCAAACAGGAGUAGAGACCCUUGUAGUCCCAUGAU